rnacentral:rRNA from 1 species
UACGAAGGGGGCAAGCGUUGCUCGGAAUCACUGGGCGGUAAAGGGCGCGUAGGCGGCUCGGUAAGUAGGGGGUGAAAUCCUGCGGCUUAACCGCAGGGCUGCCUUCUAAACUGUCGAGCUCGAGCACGGUAGAGGCAGAUGGAAUUCCCGGUGGUAGCGGCUGGAAUGCGUAGAGAUCGGGAAGAACAUCGAGUGGCGAAGGCGGUCUGCUGGGCCGGUUGCUGACGCUGAGGCGCGACAGCGUGGGGAGCAAACAGG